CACAUUAUUAUAGUAAUUAUUAAAAUGACACACGACGGCAGUUCGGAAACAUUCAUCAACAGGAACGAACUCACCUACCAACAGCCAUCUGAAAUCUACAUGUUUAUGGCGCAUAUAAGAGCGUUUACAACAAUGUCAACUGGAAUUAUGUCGGGCACAAUAUUAGAAUCGAGAUAGUAUGUAUGAAGUACUCCGGUGCCAGCCCCAACUACAAUUCCUGUUGGACCAUAUACAUUAUCUAUCCAACCUCUAACUGGUUCCCGAAACAUUUAUGGUCAUAGCUACACGGAUAUGUUCAUCGAAACGCACAGUAGCUGCUCCAUGGAAAAUUAUGUUCACUUCUUUAAUCAGUGUAUUUCGACUGCUUGCGCUCAAUCCUAGACCCGGCAAACUGCAGUCACCGGCUACUCCAGAAACUUUAUGAUAAUACUUUGGAACUUCGUGUUUUAAUCUUUUGAACAGCUAUAUUAUAACGUACAAAUUAUUGAUAUAAUUAUUAUUAAAAAAUAAUUACAGCUACACUUAAAAAAUAUUUAUUUUAACAAAAUAAUGAACGUUAAAAAUGUUGACUAAAUGUUGAGAGAUUUUAUAUAAUAAAUAUACAUACGACUACCUUUUAUUGGUUUAACUUUUUUUUCUCUUACCUAGGGAGAUUAAUUUAGAGGUUAAAACUAAACAAACAAAAAAGAUCUGAACAAUUCGCUUUUUUUACCCCAGUCCAUUUUUAAUAUCUUAUAAAUUAGUUCGUAUAUUUUCCAAACUCUAUUGAGUAACACUAUAUUUUAGUAAUCAUCGUACGAUCACAAAAUAU